rnacentral:rRNA from 1 species
GAUGAACGCUGGCGGCGUGCCUAAUACAUGCAAGUCGAGCGAAGCGGGGACGGGUGAGUAACACGUGGAUAACCUCCUAUAAGACUGGGAUAACUUCGGGAAACCGGAGCUAAACCGGAUACUUAUAGAUGGCUCCGCGUGGCAUUAGCGAGGUGGUAAGGUAACGGCUUACCAAGGCAACGAUGCAUAGCCGACCUGAGAGGGGUGUAUUCCCCACUGGAACUGAGACACGGUCCAGACUCCUCCAUUAUCACUCCAUAACUAAUAUUCCGCAAUGAGCGAAAGCCUGACCAAGCAACGCCGCGUGAGUGAAGAAUCUCUUCGGAUCAUAAAACUCUGUUAUUAGGGAAGCGGUACCUAAUCAGAAAGCCACGGCUAACUACGUGCCAGCAGCCGCGGUAAUAC